rnacentral:lncRNA from 1 species
AAGACGCAAUCUUUUUAUGGCUAUAAUAUGAGUAUGUAGCACUAUUUCAUAUCUAAGUGCAGUAUUUAUCAAUCAGUGUUAGUACGACAGAAAAGAAGAGGUAUUGUAUACAAGUAUUCUUUCAAAUUUAAGAAAUGGUAGAUGAUUUAUUUUAAAUGAUUAAAUUUUGCUGUGGGGGCCUCGGUGGCAGAGUGGUUACUACUGUAAUCACUAGCUAUUCAACACUGAGGUCAAACCUGCUUCUUGUGGGUGCACUAGACUCCAAUCUUAAUUGACUUUAGGGUUGCCAGUUUCAUUAUCAAAGGUCAGUGGUUUUCUCCUGGCACUCCGGCUUCCUCCACCAAUAAAAACUGGUCACCACGAAAUAUCCCAAAAGUGGUGUAAAAACUCCAACAAUCGAUCAAUCAAUCAAUGUUUCUGUGCAUUUUUUUUGUCUAGUGCUGAAACAUUUAGAAAGACAAUUGACAAAAUUAAUUGAUUUCUGAUUUUUAAUUUCAUAUCACCCACAUGUUACUA